ACAGAUCGUUCAGAGUUUGAUCCUGGCUCAGGAUGAACGCUAGCGAUAGGCUUAACACAUGCAAGUCGAGGGGUAACAUGGGAGUAGCUUGCUACUUCUGAUGACGACCGGCGCACGGGUGAGUAACGCGUAUCCAACCUGCCCUUCAUAUUGGGAUAGCCUUCCGAAAGGGAGAUUAAUACCGAAUAACAUAGAGUGAUUGCCUGAUUUCUCUAUGAAAGCUCCGGCGAUGAAGGAUGGGGAUGCGUUCCAUUAGGUAGUAGGCGGGGUAACGGCCCACCUAGCCGACGAUGGAUAGGGGUUCUGAGAGGAAGGUCCCCCACACUGGAACUGAGACACGGUCCAG
rnacentral:rRNA from 1 species